CUUCAACAGUCAUCAUUCCAUAAACACGCUCGAUUAGAGAGUUUGCUUUUGGAAUGAUGAAGACAAGAUUCAGAGGAAUCUUCCUGCAAGUGCUGGAGGUUCAUCACACCUUUGUACCUCACGUAAGUGAACAAACACAUAGCAGCAUUUUAUGUUCUUUGGAAUAUAUUUCUAUUAAUUUAUAGAUUUAAUGUAUUUAUUGCAGGUUGUCCCAGCUUGUGCUGUCCUGCAUAAUAUCUGCCCCUGUGCUGACGACACCGAGGCCCCAGAGGAAGAUGUGGAGGUGAUGAUGAGGAGGAGGAGGAGGAGGCGGCGGCUGGUUUGGAGGUCAUCAGCGGUCCUCUCUGGCAGGACCAACUACCUGCUGAGGUUUCUGUCCUGGGGGAGGUACAACCAGACCUUUAUUACUGGUAACAGCAUCCGUGGACAGCCAGCCCUGCAAACUCUGAAGAUGGACGAUGCAGUCUACAGUCUCUGCAGAUCAUCCUGCAAGAUGUUCCAAUCACCACCAGAAAGUUCCAGCCCAGGUCUCAGUUGAAGCCCCCAUCAUGUCAACACAUCUUUGUAAAUAGUUGGAAAUAAAAGUGCUACAUUAAUAAUGAUUACUGUGUUAGAUUUAUACCUUUAUUUAAAUGAACAAAGCAGACAUUUGUAAUAGUGGACUUCCUACUAACCUUCUCCUGAUGCUGGAUACUUACAAUCCUGAACACAGAAUCAUCAUAGACAGCAGAAAAAAGAAGAGACAAACCUUUUUAUAACAUGCAUAUUUAACCUGUAUCAAACAUGUUAUAUUCUUCACCACACAUCAACAUACUUUGUAUUUUUUUAAGUUGUCCGACUGUUUUUUGGCCUGUAAGGGGAAACCUUUUCCAUCAGAUCCAUUUUCUCCAGGAAAAACCCAAAACAUAGAGGGACAGAUGACAGGUUAAUCCUUCUCAAAAAUGUUUCACAUUAAAACACAAAAGACACUAAACUACUGCAGGGGUCACCAACUGUUCCUGCUCGAUUUACAGCUAAGCUUGUUUAAAUUACUUCUGCUCACCUGGAUCAGGUAUGUUCAAUCAAUCACAAACUGAACUAAUUCAGUCCAGCUAACCAUCAAUGACUGAAGCAGAGUUGUUACAUUUCAGAUUAAAAUAAAGUUCAAAUAAAGCCCCUAAAGUAUCGAGCACCUGUUAGACUCUGUGUUUAUAUGAGACUCCUGUCAGCUAGAGAAGACCACUACUGGAAGAUAUACGGUACAUUCAAAACUGUCAUUAUAGAAAGUUUGAAUUGUUCCUUUUAGAAGGAAGCCAUGUGGACAGACAGCUAUCUCAACACCUUCCUCAUCAAGCUUGUUGGCUUGCUUUGAUGUCUCUGGUCCAGCAGACCAUUGUGAGUUUCCACAAGCGGCUUUUCCACCAGUCUAAUAAAAUAAAUUAGAUAACUUGACUGCAAACUUUGAAAUUGUGCAACAUAAAAGACAAUACAUGAAAAUAUGAUGCUUUCUUUGGAUUUACAUUCAAAUUUGGACUUGCUUAACUUAUAUAGCUGUAGACUCUGGGUCAAAAGAAUCAACAUUCUCUAAAAAAACUUGUGAAUUUACAAGUUUAAUAAAAUGUACAAACACUUUUUUUUUUUUUUUUUUUUUUGAGAACUUUAUUUAAAGAUUUUUAGGUUUUUUUUUACAAAACAUAGAGCACAUGAAAGAGGGCUUUGUAUCAACACAAAACCACAUUUCACAGACAUACCAACCAGUGGCAUGUCCGAAUAGAUUGAAACCCGAAGCAUUAAGGAAAUACAAAACAUAC
ensembl:lncRNA